rnacentral:rRNA from 1 species
UACGAAGGGGGCUAGCGUUGCUCGGAAUCACUGGGCGUAAAGCGCACGUAGGCGGCUUUUUAAGUCAGGGGUGAAAUCCUGGAGCUCAACUCCAGAACUGCCUUUGAUACUGAGAAGCUUGAGUCCGGGAGAGGUGAGUGGGAACUGCGAGUGUAGAGGUGAAAUUCGUAGAUAUUCGCAAGAACACCAGUGGCGAAGGCGGCUCACUGGCCCGGUACUGACGCUGACGGUGCGAAAGCGUGGGAGCAAACAGGGAUUAAGAAACCCGAGGUACAGUCC